UCAUUACAAAAUAUUCCUUAUAACAUUAAGGGUAGCUAAAUUAUCAAGUCUAACAAAAAAAUUACCUCUUCUUAAACUGCUAAAACAACUGAACUAACAGAUGGAGGAAACUGGAUGACGAACAACGACAUUAGGGUUGGUCUAUUUGGAUCCAUCCUUGGACAAAAGAUGUUCCACCAUGUGUCCUUGCCUGAAGCUAUGCCGCAUUAUCGGGCUCCCUAGGAUUUACAUUAACAAUCUGCGGGCAUCAACGAUAGAGACAUAAGUAGGUGUUGGAUUUUCUAAUAGUAAUAUUACCUCCGUUGAUAUCAAUAUAAUUUCCAGCAGGGAAAAGUCAAAUAUGAAUCACAUAAAAUUAUAAAAAGAGUCCCAGAUUAAGAAACAUAAGCAAGAUUCUACCCUUUUGGAGUGAAACAAACAAAUAGAAUGUUUUUUGAGAAAACAGUCAAACACAGGAUCAAAAAGGAAAAUAUGGAAGACUACCUUGAUAAUUUGUGAUUCUUUUUCUCGAAAAGGAAAAUAUGGAAGACUACCUUGAUUAUUUGUGAUUCUUUUUCUCGAAUAGCUUCUGAUGUUUAUCAAUCAGCACUGAAGAUGAGUAAAGCAGUGCAGACAUGUACACGACAAGUGAUUCUAUAUACGGUGGCAGGGACGCAAGUGAAAUUAUCCAAAAGGAAGCAGUUUUUUUCCGGGACCAUGUCGCAGUGCCAGCAGCUCGUGAACAGUUGUUGCUUCAUACUACAAACAUCCAUUGAGGAGCAAAAUGUUUGUACAACAUCAGUAAAAAUCAUGAAAUAUGUACUUGCAACAUAGUAAACUUUUCCAUACUCUAUAUCCUUCUUGAAAAUUGAUUAUUCCACAAAUCUUUGUUAUUAUAAAUAUUCUUUUGCAAUAGUAUUGAAAAAAAGGAUUAGAACCUGCAGAGAGAGCUUAAGCAAUACUAAAGCAGCAAACGCAGAAUGUUUCUAUUAGAUAAACUAUAAUGUACAGCCCAAGUAAUACACAUAAUUCUAAUUCUUCAAAAAAAUUAAACGAAAAUAAUAUACAUACUUGAGAUAUUAUAAAAUAACAAUUUUAAUGUGUAAUUAAUUCAAUAUUUCUGACUUUUGAGACAAAGGAACAGUGAACUAUCAGAAGUUUUUCAUCAGCUAUAAAGAUUGACAAAGAAAAUGAAUUACUUGGCAAUGACUUCUCUACUCUAACUAUGAAAAUGAUGUACUAAAAAACUACAUUUAUUGUUCACAGAGAGGAGGGAUAAAAUCUUGAAAUAAUUAAGAGGCUAUAUUGAAUUUCAGAAACAUUUGUAACUAACACAUCUUUCCAAUACAAACUGAAAAAGAGAAAUCAAAGUUAGCUGCAAAUUCUAUUGCAAAUAGGGGUGUUCAAGGUUCGGUUUGGAUCGGUUAUUUAUCGGUUUUUUCUUAAAUAUAAGAAAUACACUACCAAACGCACAUUUCGGCGAUCACAUUUUCAACGCAACACUAUCAAAUCAAUUGCCCUUUGAGAAAUCUAUUAUUUACCAAGAUAUAUUGAUGAUAAUUGAAUCAAAUAGUGAUGAAUAAUUUAAGGACUCAAUUAAAAAUAUAUUAUUUUUAACAUGAAAUAGAUUCUUACACUUAACAAAAGAAAACUACCAAUUAAACUAGAAUGUAAAGGUAAAGAACUGUACUAAAAGUACAAAUGAUUAAUAUUUACUAUAAAAAUUUUAAAACUUUGUAUAAAAAUAUACAUAUAUAUAGGUGUAAUAAUAAAUUUAAAAUGGCUACUNNNNNNNNNNNNNNNNNNNNNNNNNNNNNNNNNNNNNNNNNNNNNNNNNNNNNNNNNNNNNNNNNNNNNNNNNNNNNNNNNNNNNNNNNNNNNNNNNNNNNNNNNNNNNNNNNNNNNNNNNNNNNNNNNNNNNNNNNNNNNNNUUUGAUUCGGGUUUUCGGAUUUUUAUGAACACCCCUAAUUGCAAAGAUUAACUUGAGGCACCAAUGCAAGCCCAAUGCUUCUAAUGCAAUACAAUCAAUGUUAAGCUUUAAAAAUAUCUCACUACUGAUAAAAUUCUUUUCAAAAUGUAUAGUUUUAUGUGAUAUCAAGUAGUUAUGUCCAACCUCUUCAGUAUUUACCGUCUUAAAAUCCUAUUUCUAAGAUAAGAUUGCAUAUUUUACUAUUCAUAAUCUUCCUAACAACAGGACGAAAUAGUGAUUGUGUACUAAACUUGAAAAAAGACACGAGCGGCUAACAAAAAGCCGAGGGUGAGCUGCAGUAGGGCUUGCUUUACCUGCAAAUAUUUUCACAAACAGGAUAUUAAAUUAGAUCACAGAAUGUUGAAAGACGGAAAAGAAAGUGGUUUCAUCUAACAUAGAAGAACCUACAUAUUUAUGUCAAGUUUUUCCCCUCAAGCAUAACAAAGAAAGUGGUUUCCAUAAUACUAACAAAGUUUUUGAAAAAAAAAAUUGAAAUAUAUAUUUACAGAAAGAAUAACAAAGCGCAAUUUGUUGUUGACCUUCAUUUCAUUCUCAAUGGAGUUGUUUGCUCCAGUUUUUGUUUCAUCUUUAACGAUUUCAGUUGGUAACGCAUAUUUAUUCUUUGGUGUAUCAAAAGAGUCUUUCUUUCUUGCUGCCUUCACAAAUGUCAGUAAACGUCUAUGCUAGGAGAGAAUGAAGAAUGUUUUCUUUUUCAACACAUGAUAAAAUAUUCAAUUCUCCAGACAUUGUGGAAGAAAUGCAUGCUAAUAAUUUUUUAGCUUGGAUUACGAACAGUUUGAGUAAGCAACUUUUUGGCAAAGACUCUUCUUGGAAAAAAAUACUAAGCUUUUUGUAAGAUCAAUCAUGUAAUAGACAUGUAUAAAUUGUUUAGUUCAAAUAAUCGCAGAAUAUUUUUACAGAUUGAAUUUGUAUUUUGAUUGAGGUUACCUUGUAAAUUUCCUCUACAGUAUGGGAUAGAGUAGUAUUUUUCUCCUUAUUCUCUCACAAUUAUCUCAAUUAUUGAGCCGGAGGCAUCUUGAAAAUCAAGAUCAAACCUGUAACAGUGUAUGACUAAAACACUAUGUUGAUAAGAACAGAAGAUUCUGGUAAAAAUUUAGUAUUAUGUCUUCAUCCACGGGAACAAGGAUGAGAGAUUCGAAUUUUGAUGCACUACUCAUGGUGAAAGAGACAAGCAUUUCUCCGUCUUCCAUGAUCUUGUCCAUGGUAGAAAACACUAAACUUUUGAAGAUUAAUAAUAAGAAAGAAACAAACACAAUAUAUGUAGGAGCAGGGAGUAGUGUUAUACCUUACAUGUAGUUGCUACAUUGUGGAUAAGGUGGGUCAAUCUGUAUUGACGUUUUGAACCUUGUAGUCAAUGAUGUAUCUACAUUAAUUAAGUACAAGAGAUUACAAAAUUACACUGUAAC
rnacentral:lncRNA from 1 species